UUACUGCUGAAGGACAUGUAACAGUGUCCUUAUUCAUACAGAUCCCAUUUCUCCCCAAACACUUCACCAACUGUAUUGACUUUCAAACUAUAGAAAGGGAGUCUGUUCAUGUGGAGCUGAAAUGCAGUCACUUCUGGGGUAGUAUGCAACAGCUGUUUUAGAACAUGCAAUGACCGUGCAUGGCAACAAAAAAGAAGAAUCUGUGAAUAUGUAUUCUGCUAAAACUGCAGAGGCUGGUAUACAUCUCUCUUGUUUCCUGGAAACUAGUCAAGAUGCCACUUGUGGUCACUGAAACAACAUAUAAAUUACAGCAAUUAAAGAUAAAGAAGUAAAGAAUGAAUUGGAGAACUCAAGACCUGAGAAAUUUUAUCCCCCCAUGUCACAGCAGUAUUGCUUAGUUCUCUCCACUGACUAUUAAAAGAAUACAGCGGAAUGUUCAAGCAAAGCUCUCCAAGACUGAAUUCAUCUUUGGACAACAGCAGCUUGUACUACAUAUGUGUUCCAAAGAGAAGAUAAAACCUUAUACCUCCAAAUGCUUGAUGAUGAUUCCAAGUCAACCCUCUGUAACUCAUUUGACUUUCGUGGCAUUUAUCCAAGGUGAAUUUGGCCCAUUAACUGAUCCUCACAUCAUCCCUGUGGAAUAUGUAAGAAGUAAUCAUAUCCAUUUUGGGUUUU